ACAUCCAGAGAAUUUAGCAGAGAUGCUUUAGUGCCUUCGGGAACUCUGAGACAGGUGCUGCAUGGCUGUCGUCAGCUCGUGUUGUGAAAUGUUGGGUUAAGUCCCGCAACGAGCGCAACCCUUAUCCUUUGUUGCCAGCACGUAAUGGUGGGAACUCAAAGGAGACUGCCGGUGAUAAACCGGAGGAAGGUGGGGAUGACGUCAAGUCAUCAUGGCCCUUACGAGUAGGGCUACACACGUGCUACAAUGGCGCAUACAAAGAGAAGCGACCUCGCGAGAGCAAGCGGGCCUCAUAAAGUGCGUCGUAGUCCGGAUUGGAGUCUGCAACUCGACUCCAUGAAGUCGGAAUCGCUAGUAAUCGUAAAUCAGAAUGUUACGGUGAAUACGUUCCCGGGCCUUGUACACACCGCCCGUCACACCAUGGGAGUGGGUUGCAAAAGAAGUAGAUAGCUUAACCUUCGGGAGGGCGUUUACCACUUUGUGAUUCAUGACUGGGGUGAAGUCGUAACAAGGUAAGCGUAGUGCU
rnacentral:rRNA from 1 species